rnacentral:snoRNA from 1 species
CCUACAGUGAUUAAACAUCUUAUCAACCAAUUGUUCCGACUGAAUAGUUGUUAUUUACUACGUGUCGACAACCUCGCAUAUCGUUAAGUUUCAGCCUUGUAUGAGUUGG